AGCCUUACGGUAGCAAUACCAUGCAGUCGAACGCCACGACAGGGGAGUGUCCUACGAUGUGAGUACAGCAGUGGGAACUAUCCUUACCUGUCGACUAUCUCCGCGGAACUGGAAUUUAUACCACGUACGCCCUACCGGGGACAUAUUUAUCGGGGAAGGAUUGGCCCGCGUUGCAUUGACCUGUUGGAGGGGUAUAGGCCUACCUAGGCAACUAUCCAUAGUCUGGGCUGAGAGGAUCAACAACCACAUUGGGACUGAGACACGGCCACGACUCCUACGGGACGGAGCACGUGGGCAAUAUUCCAACAUGGGCGCGAGCCUGAUCCAGCCGUGCCGCGUGAGUGAUCAAGGCCCUAGGGUUGCAAAGCUCUUUCGACGGACAACAAAUUACGGUUUCCUGACAUUAAGCCGCGGCUAACUUCAUGCCUGCUCCCGCGGUAUUACGAUGGGGGCUAACGUUGUUCGGACUUACUGUGCGUAAAGCGCACCUACGCGGAUAUUUAAGUCGGGGGUGAAAUCCCAUCAGCUCAACUCUGGAACUGCCUUUGAUACUGGGUAUCUUGAGUAUGGAAGAGGUAAGUGGAAUUCUCGAGUGUAGAGGUGAAAUUGGUAGAUAUUCGGAGGAACACCAGUGGGGAAGGCGGCUCACUGGUCCAUUACUGACGGUGAGGUGGGAAAGCGUGGGGAGCAAACAGGAUUAGAUACCCUGGUAGUCCACGCCGUAAACGAUGAAUAUUAGCCGUCGGGCACUAUAGUGUUCGGUGGCGCAGCUAACGCAUUAAACAUUCCGCGCGGGGAGUACGGUCNGCACAGAGUAAAAAUCAAAAGAAAUGACGGGGGCCCCCACACGCGGGGGAGCACGUGGGUUAAUUUGAAGCAACGCGCAGAACCCUUCCACCUCCCGACACUUGCGGUGAGGGCACCGGAGACAUUGUCCUUCAUUUGGGAUCGCCCCAGCACAGGUGCCGCAUGGCUGUCCUCAGCUCGUGUCGUGAGAUGGGGGGAUAACUCCCACAACGAGCACCCCCCUCCCCUUUAGUCCCCCGCAUUUAGUUGGGCACUCUAAGGGGACUGCCGGUGAUAAGCCGAGAGGAAGGGGGGGAGGACGUCAAGUCCUCAGGCCCCUUACGCGCGGGGUUACACACGUGUUACAAGGGUGGUGACAGGGGGCAGCGAGACAGGGAGUUCGACUAAAUCUCCAAAAGCCAUCUCAGUUCGGAUUGCACUCUGCAACUCGAGUGCAUGAAGUCGGAAUCGCUAGUAAUCGCAGAUCAGCAUGUCGCGGUGAAUACGUUCCCGGGCCUUGUACACACCGCCCGUCACACCCAUGGAGGUGGUUUCCCCGGAGGUAGUGAGCUUAACGCUCGGGAGCAGGUUACCUUAGAGUUGACCCCUCU
rnacentral:rRNA from 1 species